rnacentral:tRNA from 1 species
GGCCCUUUAGCUCAACAGGUAGAGCGGGUGACUCAUAAUCGCUUGGUUGCUGGUUCAAGUCCAGUAGGGGCCG